UCUGCCGUCACUAAGUUCCAUUUGUGAAGAAGAUAAGGAUUCUGUGUACUAGGAAGAGGGAGGAGGUUCUUCGAGAUCUGCUGAAGAUUAGGGUUCUUCGAUCUCUGGGUCUAUAAUGUCGAUUUGGGGAUUUGUAGUCUACUCGAUUUGGGGGUUUCACGACAAUUUGAUUUGUGGGGAUUUGUGGGCUACUGGAUUUGGGGAUUUGUGGGUACUUGAUUUCCUCAUAUCCACUUCCUUUCUCCUUCAUCUCUCCCUCAUGGUGGCUGCACAUGGCGAGUGAGCAAGCACUGAUCCUCAUCCACAAGUGCAAGCUUUAGAGUGUCCUAUAACAUGUCACAACCAUCACUAAGGACGUCAAGGACUCUGAAUUCUUCAGCUUCAUCACCAUGUUUAGGGCCAGCGAUAAGUGUUAGAAGGAGAAGAGGAAGACAAUUAAUGGUGAUGAUUUCCCUUCUCUCACUUUCUCACAAUUUCUUCUCCAAAGGGUAUCUGUCUGUGAGCCCAAGUCAGAGGUCAGUUUGUCGCUCUGUGGUUUGUGAGGCUGCUCCAACGCAAGAGGCUUGAUUAUGUUGAAAAGCGAGCUCGCCAGGUUGAGAAAAGGUGCAUUUACAACAAGUCCAAAAAGUCUGAGAUCAAAACCAGGUUGAAGAAGGUACCUAAAAUGCUGUCUAUAACUAGAAAACAAGUGUACUCUCUUGCCCCCAAUCGAUGCCUCUAGAGAGAACCCCCUCACGGCUCAUCGAUUACUCAGUACGUCUCUCUUUCUCGUAAUGGAUUAAUUUGAUUGAUUAAUUUGGUUGUUUUUUUUUAUAGUGGAUGAUACGAAUAAGGAGAUAGAGGAGGUUCAGAGGCAGAGGAAGUCCCCAAUCUGGUAUGUCAGACUGUUAGCUCCACAACUUCCAGCGCAUGGUCGAUAACUUCACCACCUUUCGAUGGAAGCGCCAUCAGGUCGAUUAUACGCAAUGGAGCGAGGGCUGAAGAUUCCUCAGAACAAGUGCACCAAGACCACCAAUUCCCUCCUGAUUUCACUCAUGAAGUAGAUUGAAAAGCUUGAGCAGAAGCAGAAGUAUGCGACUUGAAAAGCAGCAGAUAUAAGGAAAGCUGUGAAAGAAGGAAGGAAACCUCAGGCUGGCCCCUCUGCAGGUGAUGAUGAUCUUUCAGUUCCCUUGAGUACAACUAGUGGUUCAUAUAUAGCAUUGGAGGGCAGUUACAAGGAAGAAUUUGUUCAAGGAAUUUGACAACCAUCAAUGAAGACUUCAUAAGAGACAUGUUUUGGAACAACGUGAUGUUUUGGAACAACAUGUGUAUCAGCUUGGCCCCUAUGAAUGGGCAAAGUAUGUCGUGAAGGCGUAUGUGUAGGAGCUAAAGGAAAGCAUAAGAGGAAGUAGGUUGUUGCUGAAGGAAAGCAUCAUUUUUGUGCUUCUCUG